rnacentral:lncRNA from 1 species
UUUUAAAAUAAUCAAAAUAAAAGCUGAAAAGAGGUCAUAAGUUUAUAAGUCUUAAACUUUGUAUUUGAACCAAGAGAGGCUGAUAAAGCUGCUGUGAAAAUGAGGAGAUGGGCGUUGGCUGCUAUUUCUCUUGACUUGUCAUGCAAAGUUAUUAUUUACUGAUACUUGAAUAUAUAAUUAAGGUUAUAUUAUAAUGGGUUUGAGUGGGCCCAUUUUGAUAGCAAAAUUGCGGCUGACUUUAAUAAAAUUUCGGCUGACAACAAAUUGCAAUCUAAAAAAGGAUAGUUAAUACAAAUAUCAUCACCGCCUCAUACUAGCCUCUCUAACCGCCUUAUUGCCUCAGAGCCUUGAGGCGGCGCCUCAAUAAGAAAAGGCGCUCAGUAUUGAAAAAUCAAUAAAAGCGCAAUUUUGAAGCGGAUUGUGUGACGCCUCGCCUUGAGGCGCGCCUCAAGCGAUUUUCACAACAUUG